UGGGGAAUAUUGGGCAAUGGACGCAAGUCUGACCCAGCAACGCCGCGUGAAGGAAGAAGGCUUUCGGGUUGUAAACUUCUUUUAAGGGGGAAGAGCAGAAGACGGUACCCCUUGAAUAAGCCACGGCUAACUACGUGCCAGCAGCCGCGGUAAUACGUAGGUGGCAAGCGUUGUCCGGAUUUACUGGGUGUAAAGGGCGUGCAGCCGGGCCGACAAGUCAGAUGUGAAAUCCGCGGGCUUAACCCGCGAACUGCAUUUGAAACUAUUGGUCUUGAGUACCGGAGAGGUCAUCGGAAUUCCUUGUGUAGCGGUGAAAUGCGUAGAUAUAAGGAAGAACACCAGUGGCGAAGGCGGAUGACUGGACGGCAACUGACGGUGAGGCGCGAAAGCGUGGGGAGCAAACAGG
rnacentral:rRNA from 1 species